ensembl:ncRNA W03G11.8 ncRNA
CUCGGUCCGGUUGGUUGCGCAAAACAGAUAGGAGCACACAUACACAAUAGACAAAUUACCGAAUCAUACUGAUUCGAUGAUGUACAAAACAAUAAAUUAGGUGGAAUAUUGGCAGUCAGAGGCCAUUGGUAGAAACAUACAUUUCACGAAGUCAGUUGUUCUACAUUUAAAUGGGUUUUAAAUGAGGUAUUAGGAAGAUGGUUAGGUAAUUGAAAUC